rnacentral:ncRNA from 1 species
UAAAAGUUUUAACUUAGCUUUAAGAUUAAGUUUUAUUUUUUAUUAUAUGUAAAUUGUUUUUAAGAAAUAUAUGCAGUAAUUAAUUUUAAUUAUUAAGGAAACUUAGAAUUAGAAAAAAUAUUUAGUAUUAACAAAAUUUGUGCCAGCAGUUGCGGUUAUACAAAUAAUAUAAUUUAAUUUUAUUAAUAUUAAUUAAUUUAAUAAUAAAUUUAAAAUUAAAAUUUAUUAAGUGAAAUUUUAAAUUUUUAAUUAGAUUUUAUUUUUUGAAUGAAGUUAGAAAAUUUUAAUAAGAAACUAGGAUUAGAUACCCUAUUAUUUAAAAUAUAAAUAUUUUAUUAAAUUAAUAAUAGAUAUGUUCUUGAAAGUUAAAAGUUUUGGCGGUAUUUUAGUCUUUUCAGAGGAACCUGUUCUAUAAAUGAUAACCCACGAUUUUAUUAACUUUUUUUAUUGCUUGCAUAUCGUCGUAAUUAAAUAUUUUAUUAGAAUUAAUAAUAUUAAAGAUUUUAAAUUAAAAAAUUAAUCAGAUCAAGGUGUAGUUUAUAAAGAAGUAGAAAUGGGUUACAUUAAAUAAAUUUUUGAAUAAUAAAUUUUAUAUUUUUUUGAAUUUGGAUUUGAAAGUAAUUUUAAUUAAUUAAUUAAUUUGAUUUUAGCUCUAAAAUAUGUACAUAUUGCCCGUCGCUUUCAUUUAAAAUGAAAUAAGUCGUAACAAAGUAGGUUUAUUGGAAAAUGAAUCUAGAUUACA